GAUUGUUAUAAUUGUUCUAAUGUAUUAUUAGUUAUUGUUGUUAAUCUCUUGUUGUGCCUGAUUUAUAAAUUAAACUUUAUCAUAGGUAUGUACGUAUAGGAAAAAUCAUAGUGUAUAUGUAUAUGUAUUCUGUGUAACAGAUGUUGCCAUGAACACACUGUAAGUUGUAUUUUGUUUAUUAAUAAGUAGAAUUUUGUCAAACUUCUUAAAUGAUUUUUUGUUUCUGAAUAUUAACAUGUCUAUCCACAUUUAUUUUAUAGUUGUUUUAUCACAAAAAUCAAUUGUUUUUCAAACUUUAUAUCCUUAGUGCAGGCUGUGGAAGAACAGGUGCCAUUUGUGCCAUAGAUUAUACGUGGAAUUUACUAAAAGCUGGGAAAAUACCAGAGGAAUUUAAUGUAUUUAAUUUAAUACAAGAAAUGAGAACACAAAGGCAUUCUGCAGUACAAACAAAGGAGCAAUAUGAACUUGUUCAUAGAGCUAUUGCCCAACUGUUUGAAAAACAGCUACAACUAUAUGAAAUUCAUGGAGCUCAGAAAAUUGCUGAUGGAGUG
rnacentral:sRNA from 1 species